rnacentral:tRNA from 1 species
GGAUAGCUCAGUUGAUUAGAGUGUGGUGCUGAUAAUGCUAAGGUUACAGGUACAAUCCCCGUAUGGAACA